rnacentral:tRNA from 1 species
GGCGCGGUAGCUCAAUUGGUAGAGCAUCGCACUCAAAAUGCGAAGGCUGUGGGUGCGGUUCCUACCUGCGGCA